UACGGGGGGGGCAAGCGUUGUUCGGAAUUACUGGGCGUAAAGGGCGCGUAGGCGGCCUUCUAAGUCGAACGUGAAAUCCCCGGGCUCAACCCGGGAACUGCGUCCGAUACUGGAAGGCUUGAAUCCGGGAGAGGGAUGCGGAAUUCCAGGUGUAGCGGUGAAAUGCGUAGAGAUCUGGAGGAAUACCAGAGGCGAAGGCGGCUUGCUGGGGUGGAAUUGACGCUCAGACACGAAAGCAUGGGGAGCGAACGGG
rnacentral:rRNA from 1 species